rnacentral:siRNA from 1 species
GUGAGAGAUCAGUUGUUUGUGUC